UGCCAGCCGCCGCGGUAAUACGAAAGGGGCAAGCAUUGUUCGGAAUUACUGGGCGUAAAGCGCACGUAGGCGGCAUGCCAAGUUAGGGGUGAAAUCCCGGGGCUUAACCCCGGAACUGCCUCUAAAACUGGUAAGCUAGAGGAUGCGAGAGGAAAGUGGAAUUCCGAGUGUAGAGGUGAAAUUCGUAGAUAUUCGGAGGAACACCAGUGGCGAAGGCGGCUUUCUGGACCGAUACUGACGCUGAGGCGCGAAAGCGUGGGUAGCAAACAGGAUUAGAUA
rnacentral:rRNA from 1 species